rnacentral:snoRNA from 1 species
UUGGGUGAUGAUAUACCGACUACGGAAAGGCAUUCCUCGACCUGAAUAUACGAUGUCGAAUCUGUCUAAAAUCAAGUUUCAGCCUUGUCUGACU